rnacentral:rRNA from 1 species
UCGCCUACACGAAGUUGGAAUUGCUAGUAAUCGUGGAUCAGCAUGCCACGGUGAAUACGUUCCCGGGUCUUGUACACACCGCCCGUCACACCAUGGGAGCUGGUAACACCCGAAGUCAGUAGUCUAACCGCAAGGAGGACGCUGCCGAAGGUGGGAUUAGCGACUGGGGUGAAGUCGUAACAAGGUACC